rnacentral:tRNA from 1 species
GGCUCGUUCGUCUAGUGGUCAGGAUUUCCGCUUCUCAAGCGGUGAAGAAUGGUUCGAUUCCAUUACGAGUCA